UGGCAAUGAGGAUAAAUAUAUAUUUCUAAUGAAUCUUAAUGAUUGAUUUAUACGCUAUUCUGAGCCAACU